rnacentral:antisense_RNA from 2 species
CUUUAUGGCAGCUGUGCGUGGGAGAUCUUCGGGUCUGCCGGGUUCUGGGAAUGACCGGUUCGCCAACCCGCGUACAGCGGCCACUUGU